rnacentral:rRNA from 1 species
AACGAACGCUGGCGGCGUGCCUAACACAUGCAAGUCGAGCGCGAAAGUUGGCUUCGGUCAGCGAGUAGAGCGGCGCACGGGUGAGUAACACGUGGGUAAUUUGCCAUUGAGAUCGGGACAACCUGCCGAAAGGCGGGCUAAUACCGGAUACGCAUCUUUGGGCUGAGGCCUGGGGGUGGAAAGGGUGCUGACGAGGCAUCGCUCAUUGAUGAGCCCGCGGCCAUCAGGUAGUUGGUGAGGUAACGGCUCACCAAGCCUAAGACGGAUAGCUGGUCUGAGAGGAUGAUCAGCCACACUGGAACUGAGACACGGUCCAGACUCCUACGGGAGGCAGCAGUAAGGAAUCUUCCGCAAUGGG